UGUUUUGUCCGCUCCGAGCUGAGCCAGCCCUUACUGUGCCUGCCAAACCUGUCCCUCCCUCCCUCUCCUCCUGCUCUACCCCGCCCUUCUCUCUCUCCUCUCUUCUGUCCUCUUUCUCUCGUGUCCUAGUAAAGAAAAGACAGUUUGAUUGCACAGCUAGCCCACCGCUCAUAUCAUCCGCCUCCCCUCGCCCCCCCUCUCUCUCUCUCUCUCACUCACAAACAAACAAACAAACAAGCCUGGAUCGAGCGAAUUCAGCCGAGCUUCAGAAACCCUUGCAAGCUCGUAGCAACUUCUCUCAACCUUAUUCGGCUUUCUUCUAGCUAUAUAACGACCCUAAAUUAGUCUGCUUCAUUCGGUUCUUGCGAAUUGCCAAGACCGAAAGAACAGCUUAUUACUCUUCUGUUAGAAAGACUCGAAGAGGCCGGCCGAGAUAGACUAUCAGCUAGCUAGAGGGAGCUAACUACCUACCUAGCUAGCCAUGUGUGACUACUUCCUGCAAAGGAUGGAUCAGGGCGACCACCACCACCACCACCAGGCCGGAGACCUCACGGACGUCGUCCGAGCCGGCGGCGCGAUGCAUCAGGCAGCUGUCGCGGAGCUCCCCUCCGCGGACACGGGGUGGCAGCUCCCGGCCGAGCCAGCAGCUGGAGCAUGCCUCUUCCCGCCACCCCAGCCCUCGUCGUCGGACUGCGACGGCUUCGCGGACGCGUUCGCCGGCCUCCCGGACCCAUUUGCCAGCGACUUUCGCACCUCCUCCUCCUCCGGCGUGGGCCUUUGCCCUGCCGACGACUUCUUCGACUUCGAGGCGCCUGCUGCUGCUGCUGCCGGUGGCGGCGCUCGAAGAGGCGGAGGCGUACUGGCGGGCGCGCAGAUGCCCGCGCUGUCGCCGAGAGAGAUACGGCCGUACCCGGUGACGAUGGGCGGCGACACCGUGAAGAUCGGCGCGCCGACGAUGAUGCCCGGGCUGGCCGUUGGGCCGCCCUGCUGUGCGUUCGACGCUGUCGCCGGGAUGCAGAUGCCGUCGCCGCACGCGCACGGUGGCGGGAUCAAGCGCAGGAAAAACCAGGCAAGGAAGGUGGUCUGCAUCCCAGCUCCUGCACCAUCAUCGGCAGGAGGAAGGACCACUGGGGAGGUUGUUCCUUCUGAUCUCUGGGCUUGGAGGAAGUAUGGACAGAAGCCUAUCAAAGGAUCACCCUACCCAAGAGGGUACUACAGAUGCAGCAGCUCUAAAGGAUGCCCGGCGCGGAAGCAGGUGGAGCGCAGCCGAACCGACCCAAGCCUGCUCGUGAUCACCUACAACUCGGAGCACAACCACCCUUGGCCGACGCAGCGCAACGCGCUCGCCGGCUCAACACGCUCUCACCACGCCAAGAGCGGCAAGAACAGCUCCUCGCACAGUCUGCAGAAGCCGAACCUUAAAGCGGAACCGGAGCAUCACCAAGCCUCGGAGGCGGUCCCCAGCUACGCCACCACCGCGACCGCAGCCACAACCACAAGCACCACCACCACAGCGACCACAAGCACCACCAGCAACAGUACUCCUCCGGAGACGGUGGCUGCAGUGAAAGAGGAGGCGAUGGUUGGGUCGGAAGUGGAGAAAGGAACAGACCACGACGCUUCUGUCCUGCUGGACCACGGUGAUCUCAUGCAGCAGAUGUUCAGCCAGAGCUACUACAGGCCGAAGAUACCGGAGGCCAGCGGCGGCCACCACGCCGAUGACUUCUUCGCUGACCUCGCCGAGCUGGAGUCGGAUCCCAUGAGCCUCAUCUUCCCAGGCGGUGAUCCUGGGAAGAAGGGAAGAAUGUCCAGCGAGAGCUUGGGCAUGGGCACCGACCCAUUAUUCAACAUGCUAGAUUGGGGUGCCAGUGCCACUGAUGUUGCUGCUACUUCUGCAGGGAGUUCAUUUGAGCAAGACGAAGAGUGGUUGGCGUGACAUCGUUUAGCUUGCGCCGGCAACCUCAAGCAUGCAUAUAUGCACGCAACACGUAGGUAGACAGCCCAACCGGUUUGUUGUUGACAAAUACCUUAUGGCAGUGUGUCUGCUCCGUGCUCCCCUCUCUAGCUCUCCUAGCGCUACCUCAAGUGCUCAACACUACACUAGGAUAAGAUCAUCAAAACUUUAGAAAGCAGAAGGCCAAAAGUAGAGGAGACAUGCAGACAUGUAUUUGUUGUCAUUUGAGAAUGUAUUUGUUGACAUGCAGACAUGUACUUAAAUUGUUUAUUUAUCACGCAUACACGUAUUUGUUGAUAACUAGCUAAUCAUACAAAUAUGUGCAACUUUCUGUUCUGAA